UUCCUACAUCAGCUAAAAAUAAGUUUCCGAGGCCCGUUGUAAUUUCUGUGUUUGCUCCUUUGGACUUGUCAUUCAUUUUCAGACCUGAAAAUCUCAUUCUUCCUUCUCUUUCCAAGAUUGGUAUUUUUAAGGCACCGCAAUGGCACAGAAGACAAUGCUUCUAUCACCAGCCUCUUGCUUCUCUGACGCACAAAAGAAUGUCUGGCUCGAGAAGUAUUCACCCAAUGAUUAUAGGAUUAACUGCAACCUGCAGGAAGAAUAAAGAGGUUUUGGAGUCCAUUGUUGAAUGAUUUGACCUAUGGCACAAAUGCUACCACUAGAAAUUCCAUUGUAAUCAUCCGGUGCAGAGUGGAUCCUGCUCUGGGAAAGAAGGCAGCAAAGCAGUGAACACCCAGCGAAUGUUCCAAGAAGUGAUGGGGGAGUUCUGAGAUCAGCAAAGAACUUCUCUCCACCACGUGGAAGCCUGAGUUAAGAUACCUCUUGAGAAAUUUUAAUGCUGAUUUUCCAUAAAACCCCCAUUCUCUAAAGUAUGGACAUUAGUUUAAUAAUAGUGUAUCAAUCUUUCUUUGUUAAUUGUAACAAAUGUACCAUACUCAGAUGUUAUCAAAAGGGAAACUGGUUGAGAUGUACAUGGGAACUCUGCACUGUCUUUGCAAUAUGUCUGC